UAGUGAACCAGUACCGUGAGGGAAAGGCGAAAAGAACCCCGGCGAGGGGAGUGAAAAAGAACCUGAAACCGUGUACGUACAAGCAGUGGGAGCCCCACCACCAAAGCAUUCUCUGGUGUUGAAGGCCCUGCAAAGCAGCAUCGCGGUGGCGGAGCGUCGUUUGCGACGCCCAACACACAAAACAAGCGGUGAGUGCUUUGGGGUGGGGUGACUGCGUACCUUUUGUAUAAUGGGUCAGCGACUUAUAUUCUGUAGCAAGGUUAACCGAAUAGGGGAGCCGGAGGGAAACCGAGUCUUAAUUGGGCGUUAAGUUGCAGGGUAUAGACCCGAAACCCGGUGAUCUAGCCAUGGGCAGGUUGAAGGUUGGGUAACACUAACUGGAGGACCGAACCGACUAAUGUUGAAAAAUUAGCGGAUGACCUGUGGCUGGGGGUGAAAGGCCAAUCAAACCGGGAGAUAGCUGGUUCUCCCCGAAAGCUAUUUAGGUAGCGCCUCGUGAAUU
rnacentral:rRNA from 1 species